UAAAACCAGCACCUCAAGUGGUCAGGAUGAUUAUUGGGCCUAAAGCAUCCGUAGCCGGCUUUGUAAGUUUUCGGUUAAAUCCAUGUGCUCAACGCAUGGGCUGCCGAAAAUACUGCAUAGCUAGGGAGUGGAAGAGGUAGACGGUACUCAGUAGGUAGGGGUAAAAUCCUUUGAUCUAUUGAUGACCACCUGUGGCGAAGGCGGUCUACCAGAACACGUUCGACGGUGAGGGAUGAAAGCUGGGGGAGCAAACCGGAUUAGAUACCCGGGUAGUCCCAGCUGUAAACGAUGCAGACUCGAUGAUGCAUUGGCAUAAUAGCCAUUGCAGUGUCGCAGGGAAGCCGUUGAGUCUGCCGCCUGGGAAGUACGUACGCAAGUAUG
rnacentral:rRNA from 2 species